GACGAACGCUGGCGGCGUGCUUAACACAUGCAAGUCGAACGGAAAGGCCCUGCUUUUGUGGGGUGCUCGAGUGGCGAACGGGUGAGUAACACGUGAGUAACCUGCCCUUGACUUUGGGAUAACUUCAGGAAACGGGGGCUAAUACCGGAUAGGAGCUCAUGCUGCGGGGUGGGGGUGGGAAAGUUUCGGCGGGUGGGGAUGGACUCGCGGCUUAUCAGCUUGUUGGUGGGGUAGUGGCUUACCAAGGCUGUGACGGGUAGCCGGCCUGUGAGGGUGACCGGCCACAAUGGGACUGAGAUACGGCCCAGACUCCUACGGGAGGCAGCAGUGGGGAAUAUUGCACAAUGGGCCGAAGCCUGAUGCAGCAGCGCCGCGUGCGGGAUGACGGCCUUCGGGUUGUAAACCGCUUUCGCCUGUGACGAAGCUGGAGUGACGGUAAUGGAUAAAGAAGCACCGGCUAACUACGUG
rnacentral:rRNA from 1 species